AACGAACGCUGGCGGCAUGCCUAACACAUGCAAGUCGAACGAGACCUUCGGGCCUUGGGGCGCUCGGGUGCGUAACGCGUGGGAAUCUGCACGUGGGUUCGGUAUAACAGUUGGAAACGACUGCUAAGACCGGAUGAUGUCGUAAGUCCAAAGAUUUAUCGCUAAGGGAUGGGCCCGCGUAGGAUUAGCUGGUUGGUGGGGUAAAGGCCUGCCAAGGCGACGAUCCUUAGCUGGUCUGAGAGGAUGAUCAGCCACGCUGGGACUGAGACACGGCCCAGACUCCGACGGGGGGGAGCAGUGGGGAGUAUUGGGCGAGGGGCGAAGGCCUGGUCCAGCAAUGCCGCGUGAGUGAUGAAGGCCGUAGGGUUGUAAAGCUCUUUUACCCGGGAUGAUAAUGACAGUACCGGGAGAAUAAGCCCCGGCUAACUCCGUG
rnacentral:rRNA from 1 species